UUUUUGUUGUUUUUUUAUUAAACGUUUUUUUUUUUGUUGUUGUUGUUGUUUCAGAAGACGACGAGCAGGCCCGCCCUCCCCCGGCUCUGCCGGUGUGCUGGGCUCUGGCCGCCGGCCUGCCGCCCCUGUGCUCGCUGGUCUCCGCCGCCUGCGUCUGCGGCCUCUGGCGCCGGAGAGGGACCUGGGUCAGAGCUCCGCAGGGUCUGCCACAGGGCGGGGAAGAAGAGAAAGGGGACAGUACGCAGGAGGACUCCGGGCUCCAGUACGCCUCCCUAGACCUCCCGCCUCGGCCCCCGCGGGCCGUCCGGACCGCCGAGCGGACCACCUACGCGCGCGUGUACCACCAGAGCCGCGCGUGAGGGGAGGAGGAGGAGGAGGAGGAGGAGGAGGAGGAGGAGGAGAAGGAGAAGGAGAAGGAGAAGAAGAAGAAGGAGAAGGAGAAGAAGAAGACGAAGAAGAAGGAGAAGGAGAAGAAGAGGAGAAGGAGAAGGAGAAGAGGAGGAGGACGACGACGAGGACGAGGUGGAGGAGGAGAGGCGAAGAAGAGGAAGAAGAGGGGGAGAGAGACGCCCGGCGUGACGUGACGUGACCACGCGUCUGGCACGUUAUCACAGGUCCCGGCUGUGUUUUCUACGCGAGGGUCAUCGCGAUUGCUGGCCCCGCCCGCGUUGGGCUUCGCGGUGUGGACUCGGGGAACAGCUGGUCCAGAAAGAAAGACAGGUGUCCCGCGCGGAGACGGCCCUCGCCCGCCCGGUGGGCGUUUCCCAGUCGCUGGGGUGAGUGGGCAGUGGGCCCGGCCAGGGCGCUUACAGGGACAGCGUGGGAGCAGGUAACUGGGCUGAAGAGAAGAGAAGAACGAGAAAACGCGGUGUUUCGGCGCCGGGGGGAGGGCCUGCUUCGGGUGCGAGGGGACACGCGACGACACGUCGUGUGUGUGUGUGUUUAUUUGUAUUUUUCCUGCACUGGAAUGAUGCCGCUUCCUCUGUCGGGGCUGUGUGCGUUAUCUGCAGUAGAUACGAGUGUUUCUCCCAUUCAAAACGCGUUCUUGUUUUUUGUUGUCGUCGUUUAACAGUUUUCAAAGCGGCUUCAUUAC
rnacentral:lncRNA from 1 species